UACGUAGGGGCUAGCGUUAUCCGGAAUUACUGGGCGUAAAGGGUGCGUAGGUGGUUUCUUAAGUCAGAGGUGAAAGGCUACGGCUCAACCGUAGUAAGCCUUUGAAACUGGGAAACUUGAGUGCAGGAGAGGAGAGUGGAAUUCCUAGUGUAGCGGUGAAAUGCGUAGAUAUUAGGAGGAACACCAGUUGCGAAGGCGGUUCUCUGGACUGUAACUGACACUGAGGCACGAAAGCGUGGGGAGCAAACAGGAUUAGAUACCCCUGUAGUCCCUGAGCGGG
rnacentral:rRNA from 1 species